AAAACUUUCAACAACGGAUCUCUUGGUUCCAGCAUCGAUGAAGAACGCAGCGAAAUGCGAUAAGUAAUGUGAAGGCAGAAUUCAGUGAAUCAUCGAAUCUUUGAACGCACAUUGCGCCCCUCGGCAUUCCGGGGGGCAUGCCUGUUCGAGCGUCAUU
rnacentral:rRNA from 1 species